ACAAUGUCCGCAUUAUAGAACAAUCCGCUCCACGGCGAGGAAAGCUCUGAAAAGGAGGUAAAAAUUUGAUGAGGUGGCGUCAGCAAAAACUAGCGCCCUUUAAUGUUUUGGAUCAAACCAAAUAAUCUAAAAUUCGAAGUCCUAAGAUCGCUGUGAAUGUUGAUCAGUGGACUUUAAUAUGUUUGAAAUGCGUUUUACUUAUAUAGAAACGGCUUUGUCAAACACUUGAGGUUACAAGAUUUCAAAUCCUGUCCCCCUGAAAAUAUCUAUCAGUUAAUGGAUGUAAUAUAAUCCAAAUUAGACACAGAAAAAAAACAGGUCAGUGAUCGCUUUUUAUUAUUUAAGUCCUCGGUAAAGGUGCACAAACGUCAAAUGCUUUUGACCUUCAGUUUCGUAUUUCGUAUUCGUUAUUUUUCGUACGGCAAGCAUCCUUUCGAUAAAACCAUUUAUGAUUUGAUUAUGGUUUAAUAUUAGGAUGUGAUUCCGUUUUUACAGAUAACAUAAAGAAGUUUAGCUAUGGCGACAUACUUCACAACAAAAACAUUGAAGAAAAAUGUCUUGCGAAAUAUUUUCGUUGUUAAGUCCGAACAAUAUUGCUAUAAAGCUGUGCAGAAAGAGGGAUUUCCUAAAGUUGUGUAAGAACCAACAUGAAGGUACAGAUCUGUAUUGUAUUGUUACUUCUGGUGUUGGUUGAAAGUGUUCCUAUAGGGUUAACAGGUAUAUCAGAUGGAACAGCAAGAGCAAAUUUUGAUCCAAGUUGUAAGCAUGUGACUGUUGAAGAAUGCAAAGAGUUUUGUGAUGACAGUGGAAAUAAUUGUUGGGAUAUGUGUGAUGAUAAAGUGAAACUUGUUUGCAACAGUUAAAUAAAAAGUGUGAAGACGAAUUAAAAUAUUGUAACUGAUAAAUAAUAAUAAUUGUGAAUUUACAA